rnacentral:rRNA from 1 species
CGCGUAGGCGGACCAUUAAGUCAGGGGUGAAAGCCCGGAGCUCAACUCCGGAGGUGCCUUUGAUACUGAUGGUCUUGAGACCGGAAGAGGCGAGUGGAAUUCCGAGUGUAGAGGUGAAAUUCGUAGAUAUUCGGAAGAACACCAGUGGCGAAGGCGACUCGCUGGUCCGGUUCUGACGCUGAGGUGCGACAGCGUGGGGAGCAAACA